rnacentral:lncRNA from 1 species
GGAGAGACAGAGACAUAGAGACAGGGAGAUCCAGAGAUGGAGACGCAUACACGGCCGGAGACCCAGACACAGGGCCAAAGACAGACAGAAAUGGGUAACUCAGAGCUGGAAGACGGAGAGAGACCUGAGAUGAGAAGACUCUGAGAUGCAGACAGAGACGGCGGGCAGCGGGGAGGCGACAGAGGUGGAGAGACCCGAGCCCGAGAAACAGAGGUGUGGACACCCAGAGACACCGAUCGCUGAAAGAGGAGAUGGGUUCUCGAAUCCAGGGAGCGGACAGCGUGCGAAGGCUGGCCGCGCCGGGGCUUCAGGAGGCAACGGGUUUGAAAACCAGGAGGCUGGAGACACCAAACCAUUACUCAUUUUACAAGGACACAUGCUGCCGAGACCAGCUAGGCAGCCAGCCGAAGGGGUGGACGGAAUUAAUAGACAGAACACAAUCUAUAUUAUUUCAAUGGGACAGGGGACCAUCAGCCUGAAGGACUGAGGUGAGGUCCCUCGUAUCGCCACAUAUUUAUUUGCGGGUAAAGAAUCACAAGCAUGUACAAUAGUAGGAACUCAUGCCUGCAGGGACACGCAAGCCAAAGCCCAAAGGUUCUAUUCUUCAGCCCCCCGAAGCACACCAACCCUAGCCAAGGCCGUUCCCUUGGGGAGUAUCUUAAGAACAAUCAGCAAGGUAUGCAGGCGGAGUUCCUAAGCCCCUUGCCUUCAUGCCCGAUAACAUACUCCCCUCCUGCCUUGGAUUCCAAAGCACAAGCAAUCUGGUACAAGCAUUAUGAGAGUCAGCAGAUCACAUAUCUCCCAGUCACCCAUUUGGAAUUUAUUUUUCCUAGGCUUAAAGCCUAGCAAGAAUGCUGCUACAAUCUCCUGCAGCAGACAUAUGCUCAAGAUGCCCCUAUAGCACUACUGGGAAUGUUUAAAAACUGCAAACUUCCAAGAUAUACAUCAACGGGGGGGUCGGGUAGGGGGACAAAUAAAUCGUGGCAUCUUCAAAAGGUGGAAUACUAC